GAUAUACAAAUCUAAUACGUAAAGUAAAAAAGAUCGGAGAAGUACACACGUAUUGAUGAUUUUUUCUAAGAAAGGACACAAAGCAAAUAUUUAACCAGCUAAGAACCCAUUGACCUUAGGGGUCCACCUCGUAGAAAAAACGCUGGAGCGCUCCCAGGCCUCCAAUUCCUGGGAGCUUGGAAAUUGUAGUGAUUCUCUUGUGGCGGCUUGGCCGAUCUGCUCUAGCGGCGAGGGCAUCCACAUCAUGAUUUUCUCGGUGGUGCUUAGGAGGCGUAUUGGAGACGGUGUUGGGUGAGGCAACAGCGGUGGCGCCGUGGCGGUGGCUCCCGUGUGAGGAUCUCAUCUGCGACCUCGCCACGCGCCAGUCCAACACUCCCCUGCGCCAACUGCAACCACACCCACUGGUUUCGUGUUGCGCUCCAUCUCACAGCUCACCGGAGUCGCUGUCCGCGACUUCCAUACCCUCAGCCACUAUCCUACAUCUCCUCCAGGCCAGCGGCGCUUCAGCUUGCAGUUCUUGUCGUGCCCCAUGCCCCCAUGCUACCCGCCUGCUGAUUCGAAUUCAAGAAUAACUGUUAGGUAGAAUCUCUCCUCAACACCAUUACAAUUCAUGUAUUCAGAUUGAAUCCUCUCAGCCGAACCUACACAUGUGAAUUGAAGUAUUGUGAGAUGUUCCAGAUUUGUCCAGUUUGAAUCCUAACCGUGCAGAAGAUUAAUGAGACACUUUUUGUUAACAUAAAAUUAGCAGGACCCAUGCAAAAAUGUAUAGUUGUAGUCGAGCAUUAAGUCCUAGGCACAUCAGAUUGGAUUUGGAACUUCUUGGCAUAAGGUAAACAUAUACUGAACCUCUUCUAUGGUCUGCAGAUUCGGUUUGUGAGGUAGUGACAAAAUAUGUCUUUUAAACUUUACAUCAAUAAUCGCAGAAGACUGCAUGGAUUUAAAUUUUUUAGUCAUGAAGGAGCCGACCCUUGAUCGAAUAGACGAAUACAUGAACUUAUCAAGAUGCUUAUCUGAAGAAUGUUCACAAAUUAUAUGUUGCAUGACAUGGAUAACUACAUCAACCUUAUUGGUUCUAUGUAGUGUUUUUCAGUAUGUUGUCUUUGCAAUAUGAUAGUUUGCUUCUUCAGUUUGUGACCUUCUCUAUCAUAAUUAUUAUGUAUAGGGUUCAUGGAAGUUAAGAUACCAGCAUGUGUUUCCUUCUCAACAAUGACCUUGCUAGGAGCAUCAUCACAACUGUCACCUACGGACUGACACCACUAACCCAUGGAUCCACCAUAAUCUUUGCCUGCUCUAUGGGCCACGAAUGUUCUUCCUGGUUUAAUUAUGUGGUUUGUUCUGUAAGGUUUUUUUGUAGGUUCCAUGAUUGCCAUCAGAAGAGUUUCAGUUUUGUCUCAAUUCUUGGGAUAACUAGUAGAGAUCUAACCCUUCUUUCGAUUAUGUCAAUUGCUUUGCUUAUUUCUAUCAGCAAAUUACCUCACAAUUUUUAAUUUGGGCAUUGCUGAUAUUCCGAACUCCUGAUUCAUGUAUGCAUUAGAGCAAGCGAGAACUGAAUCCUCCAUUCUCUUGGUGAAUCUAUGAUGCGUUCCUGCCUUGGCGCCAAAUUUUGGCAUGCGUCUAACAUAUAAUGGAAGUCAUAGUGUCGCCUUCACCGAAGCUCGUUCGGAAGCGAAAUGUUUGAUGUUCUUUCUGAGAUAGACGGAUUAGUUUUUCUGAGCUAGCUGGUUCCAGAAGGAAACAACAUCCAAUCGGGUUCCCUUUUUGUCCAAACGAUAGUUUCCAGGUCAAGAACAUGUAUUUGUCUUCCUGAAAGGAAAAUUGUACGUUUACUUACAAAUACAAAUGUGUUUCCAUUGGCACAUUUUGGUUGUAUUCUCGUAUGCAUAUCUUCCCCAAUAUAUUUCUAUUGUGAUUAAUAAGUAAGGCUAGGUAUCAUCUUUCUCACAUUUUUAAAGCUUCAUGACUACCACAUGGUUUGGAAAGGCUUAGUUCAAGCACCAGAUUAUUUCUACUCUUUUAAUGAAUAUAUAAAUGUGUUGAUUUC